AUAAUAGCGGGUCCUCUCGAAUCAUAGGAUGUCUGAACCCUUGAAUACUUAACUUUGUUGCUUUGGCGGGCCGCCUCCGGGCAUCGGCCAUGGCUGACUGUGCCCGCCAGAGGACCACAACUCUUUGUUUUGUGACGUCUGAGUACUAUUAAAUAUUUA
rnacentral:misc_RNA from 1 species